rnacentral:rRNA from 1 species
UACGUAGGGGGCAAGCGUUGUCCGGAAUCAUUGGGCGUAAAGAGCGUGUAGGCGGUCCGGUAAGUCGGUUGUGAAAGCCCAGGGCUCAACCCUGGGAUGCCGACCGAUACUGUCGGACUAGAGUUCGGAAGAGGCGAGUGGAAUUCCCGGUGUAGCGGUGAAAUGCGCAGAUAUCGGGAGGAACACCUAUGGCGAAAGGCAGCUCGCUGGGGACGUUACUGACGCUGAGACGCGAAAGCGUGGGGAGCAAACAGG